GACGAACGCUGGCGGCAUGCCUAAUACAUGCAAGUCGAGCGAACAGAUGAAGUGCUUGCACUUCUGACGUUAGCGGCGAACGGGUGAGUAACACGUAAGGAAUCUACCUAUAAGCGGGGGAUAACACUCGGAAACGGGUGCUAAUACCGCAUAAUAUCUUCUUCCGCAUGGAAGAAGAUUGAAAGAUGGCUCUGCUGUCACUUAUAGAUGACCUUGCGGUGCAUUAGUUAGUUGGUGGGGUAACGGCCUACCAAGACGAUGAUGCAUAGCCGACCUGAGAGGGUGAUCGGCCACAUUGGGACUGAGACACGGCCCAAACUCCUACGGGAGGCAGCAGUAGGGAAUCUUCCGCAAUGGGCGAAAGCCUGACGGAGCAAUGCCGCGUGAGUGAAGAAGGCCUUCGGGUCGUAAAACUCUGUUAUAAGAGAAGAACAAAUUGUAGAGUAACUGCUACAGUCUUGACGGUAUCUUAUCAGAAAGCCACGGCUAACUACGUGCCAGCCGCCGCUGUAA
rnacentral:rRNA from 1 species